rnacentral:rRNA from 1 species
UACGUAGGGGGCUAGCGUUGUCCGGAUUUAUUGGGCGUAAAGAGCGUGUAGGCGGCCAGGUAGGUCUGCUGUGAAAACUCGAGGUUCAACCUCGAGACGUCGGCGGAAACCAUCUGGCUAGAGUCCGGAAGAGGAGAGUGGAAUUCCUGGUGUAGCGGUGAAAUGCGUAGAUAUCUGGAGGAAUACCGGUGGCGAAGGCGGCAUCCUGGACCGACAUUGACGCUGAUGAGCGAAAGCUAGGGGAGCAAACGGG